rnacentral:rRNA from 1 species
GAUGAACGCUGGCGGCGUGCCUAAUACAUGCAAGUCGAGCGCACGGACGAGAAGCUUGCUUCUCUGAUGUUAGCGGCGGACGGGUGAGUAACACGUGGAUAACCUACCUAUAAGACUGGGAUAACUUCGGGAAACCGGAGCUAAUACCGGAUGAUAUUUUGAACCGCAUGGUUCAAGAGUGAAAGACGGUCUUGCUGUCACUUAUAGAUGUAUCCGCGCUGCAUUAGCUAGUUGGGAAGGUAACGGCUUACCAAGCCAACGAUGCAUAGCCGACCUGGGAGGGGGAUCGGCCACACGGGAACGGAGACACGGUCAAGACUCCUACGGGAGGAAGCAGUGGGGAAUCUUGCGAAAUGGGCGAAGGCCUGACGGAGCAACGCCGCGUGAGUGAUGAAGGUCUUCGGAUCGUAAACCUCUGUUAUUAGGGAAGAACAUAUGUGUAAGUAACUGUGCACAACUUGACGGUACCUAAUCAGAAAGCCACGGCUAACUACGUG